GGGGAUUUAGCUCAGUGGUAGAGCGCUUGCCUAGCAAGCACAAGGCCCUGGGUUCGGUCCCCAGCUCUG
rfam:Rattus norvegicus chromosome 9, whole genome shotgun sequence.